AAAUAGUACUUUGCAGAGAGAGUUAAGAGGGCGUGAAACCGUUAAUUGGCAAACGAAUCGGAGCCACGAAGUCGUUUCGCUGAGUUGGCUUGAGUUCAGCCCGGAACACGCUUGUGUUGCGGGUGUAUUCUUGAGCUUAACCCUUGUAAGCGUACACUGCAACCAGUUAGACGAUUGAAGAUGGGCCCAGUGAAUCGGAGGCGCUUCGGCGCUUCCGGUGAACGCAGCAUCUAUUUGCGUGAGUUAGUAGUAGUGUGGGCGGGCAUUUGUCCGUUCGUAUUGCUGGGCUUGCGACAAGUGAACUAUCCUCAAAUACUGACUGGCAAAAUGAAAAUCGCGAAAGCGUUCCACAAAAAGCGACCGAGCGCAUAAUUGUCUACGCAACUGACCAUGGGGUCCUAAGCUUGGCAUUUUCGAAUUUAGGCUUGCUUGCUACCAAUGGGGCAACUCUUGGUGCUUGUAUAGUUUCUAUCUAAUCAGGUGUCGACUUGAUUUUGUGUCGUUUAGUUGUGCUAUGAUCGGGCGGUUAUGCGACUUGGUUUGCAAUUUGAUUGGCAGUGAGUAGGUCGGCUUUCCGAACGA
rnacentral:rRNA from 1 species